rnacentral:rRNA from 1 species
AGCGAACGCUGGCGGCAGGCCUAACACAUGCAGGUCGAACGGCUCUUCGGAGCAGUGGCGGACGGGUGAGUAACGCGUGGGAACGUGCCCUUUGGUACGGAACAACUGAGGGAAACUUCAGCUAAUACCGUAUGUGCCCCUNUUCUUAGCGGAAGGGGUGGGAAAGAUUUAUCGCCAUUGGAGCGGCCCGCGUUGGAUUAGGGUAGUUGGCGGGGUAAAGCCUACCAAGCCUACGAUCCAUAGCUGGCUGAGAGGAUGAUCAGCCACACUGGGACUGAGACACGGCCAGACUCCUACGGGAGGCAG